rnacentral:rRNA from 1 species
GAUUGUAGUCAUAUGCUUGUCUCAAAGAUUAAGCCAUGCAUGUCUAAGUAUAAGCAAUCUAUACAGUGAAACUGCGAAUGGCUCAUUAAAUCAGUUAUCGUUUAUUUGAUAGUACCUUACUACUUGGAUAACCGUGGUAAUUCUAGAGCUAAUACGUGCUAAAAACCCCGACUUCGGAAGGGGUGUAUUUAUUAGAUAAAAAACCAAUGCUCUUCGGGGCUCCUUGGUGAUUCAUAAUAACUUAACGAAUCGCAUGGCCUUGUGCCGGCGAUGGUUCAUUCAAAUUUCUGCCCUAUCAACUUUCGAUGGUAGGAUAGUGGCCUACCAUGGUUUCAACGGGUAACGGGGAAUUAGGGUUCUAUUCCGGAGAGGGAGCCUGAGAAACGGCUACCACAUCCAAGGAAGGCAGCAGGCGCGCAAAUUACCCAAUCCCGACACGGGGAGGUAGUGACAAUAAAUACUGAUACAGGGCUCUUUUGAGUCUUGUAAUUGGAAUGAGUACAAUUUAAAUCCCUUAACGAGGAACAAUUGGAGGGCAAGUCUGGUGCCAGCAGCCAAU